rnacentral:lncRNA from 1 species
UUCCAUUUAAGAACACUUUAUUUGGCUCACUUUCAAAUCGUUCUUCUCAAAACAGCAGAAGCGAACAAAACGAUCAAAGCAGAUCGCCGACUUAAAACACAGCGAAGAAAACUUCUGGUAGAUAAAAAAUCAACUUCUUGCGGUCAUCUUUCCAGUAACAGCAAUAUUAUAUUACAUUAUAUAUAUACAUUACGUGAUACAUAUGUAUAUAGAGAGAGAGUACAUGUUAUAUAAUAUAUAUUACAUUAUAUAUUUAAUAUAUAUCUUAUCUUACAUCAUAUAUAUAAUAUAUAUCUUAGAUAUAGAGGAUAUCACAUAAUAUUACAGUAACAGUAAUAUUUUCUGUUUGUGCUGAUCAUUCCAUUGAUCGUUUCAACUGUCAGUCCUCGAGGAAGGCAAAACAGGCUCCAUUUCUACAUGGUCGGAGUCUUCCACAUCAGCCGAACUGGUUUCUCUUAAAUCAAGUUUCACAUAGCUUUCUGAAGUCGUGUCGAUCGUUUCUUAAACCAACUUUCACAUCUGUUUCUUAAAUCAAGCUUCACAGAGUUUUCUGAAGUCCUGUCGAUCGUUUCCUAAAUCAGGUUUCACUUCUGUUUCUUAAAUCAAGUUUCACUUCUGUUUCUUAAAUCAAGUUUCACAUCUCUUUCUGAAGUCGUGUCGAUCGUUUCUUAAACCAACUUUCACAUCUGUUUCUUAAAUCAAGCUUCACAGAGUUUUCUGAAGUCCUGUCGAUCGUUUCCUAAAUCAGUCCUCGAGGAAGGCAAAACAGGCUCCAUUUCUACAUGGUCGGAGUCUUCCACAUCAGCCGAACUGGUUUCUCUUAAAUCAAGUUUCACAUAGCUUUCUGAAGUCGUGUCGAUCGUUUCUUAAACCAACUUUCACAUCUGUUUCUUAAAUCAAGCUUCACAGAGUUUUCUGAAGUCCUGUCGAUCGUUUCCUAAAUCAG